rnacentral:rRNA from 1 species
GAUGAACGCUAGCGGCAGGGCUAAUACAUGCAAGUCGAACGGUGUAGCAAUACACAGUGGCGCACGGGUGCGUAACACGUAUGCAACCUACCUUACAUUGGGGGAUAGCCUUUCGAAAGGGAGAUUAAUACCGCAUAAGACAGUAACUGGGCAUCCAGUAGCUGUUAAAGAUUUAUCGAUGUAAGCUGGGCAUGCGUACAAUUAGUUAGUUGGCGAGGUAAUGGCUCACCAAGACGAUGAUUGGUAGGGGAACUGAGAGGUCAAUCCCCCACACGGGCACUGAGAUACGGGCCAGACUCCUGCGGGAGGCAGCAGUAGGGAAUAUUGGGCAAUGGGCGCAAGCCUGACCCAGCCAUGCCGCGUGCAGGAAGAAGGCGUUAUGCGUUGUAAACUGCUUAUAUACAGGAAGAAACGACCCUUGCGAGGGGCAUUGACGGUACUGUAUGAAUAAGCACCGGCUAACUCCGUGCCAGCCGCCGCGGUAAUAC